UGCUGAGCUGGACUUUGUAUUUCCCAGCAUGAGUCUUACGUUGGACAUUCUUCAUGACAAGAUGAGUAUAGUGCUCAGUGUUUUCAAUAGUAAUGUUUUCUGAGUUUUGCAAAAGUUUCUGACCAUGGAACCAAGUCAUGGCAGUGGGUAACCAGGAUGGAACUGCGGUGUUGCUUGCAGGAGAAGCUUACUACUGGUUUCUACUUCUCCAACCUCAUUGGUGGCUAUGCAGGCACUGUCUCCAGACUGUCUAUAUUCAACCCAGUAUCCAAGAAUUUCUUUACCACCAUCACAUUCAGGUUUCUCCCACUGUAGAGUGACACUAUCUUUGGAUAUUGAAAGAAUCUCAAGUUCUCCUGGUUGGCUUGGUUUAUCUGAAAUAUUUUAAAAUAAUGAAAAGGGAGUCAGCUUUACUGGUGAAAUAAAAGGACCAAACAUG
ensembl:lncRNA TTN-AS1 TTN antisense RNA 1